UAAUACAGAGGGCGCGAGCGUUGUCCGGAAUCACUGGGCGUAAAGGGCGCGUAGGUGGCCACUAUAAGGCCGCGGUGAAAGUUCGGGGCUCAACCCUGAAUCUGCCGCGGCGACUGUAGGGCUAGGGCACCGUAGAGGCAGAUGGAAUUCCGGGUGUAGCGGUGGAAUGCGUAGAGAUCCGGAAGAACACCGGUGGCGAAGGCGGUCUGCUGGGCGGUGAACCCGCAAGGGUUCAAUAGCCGACACUGAGGCGCGACAGCGUGGGGAGCAAACAGGAUUAGAUACCCUGGUAGUCCACGCCGUAAACGAUGGGCACUAGGUGCUUUGGGGAGCGACCCUCAGGGUACCGGCGCUAACGCAUGAAGUGCCCCGCCUGGGGAGUACGGCCGCAAGGCUG
rnacentral:rRNA from 1 species